GCGUUGGGAGCUCUCCCNUAUGGUCGACCUGCAGGCGGCCGCGAAUUCACUAGUGAUUAGAGUUUGAUCCUGGCUCAGAUUGAACGCUGGCGGCGUGCUUAACACAUGCAAGUCGAACGUGAAAGUCCUUCGGGGCGAGUAAAGUGGCGCACGGGUGAGUAACGCGUGGAUAAUCUACCCUUAAGAUGGGGAUAACGGCUGGAAACGGUCGCUAAUACCGAAUACGCUCCCGAUUUUAUCAUUGGGGGGAAAGAUGGCCUCUGCUUGCAAGCUAUCGCUUAAGGAUGAGUCCGCGUCCCAUUAGCUAGUUGGCGGGGUAACGGCCCACCAAGGCAACGAUGGGUAGCCGGUCUGAGAGGAUGACCGGCCACACUGGAACUGGAACACGGUCCAGACUCCUACGGGAGGCAGCAGUGGGGAAUAUUGCGCAAUGGGCGAAAGCCUGGCGCAGCGACGCCGCGUGAGGGAUGAAGGUUCUCGGAUCGUAAACCUCUGUCAGGGGGGAAGAAACCCCCUCGUGUGAAUAAUGCNAGGGCUUGACGGUACCCCCAAAGGAAGCACCNGCUAACUCCGUGCCAGCAGCCGCGNNAAUACGGAGGGUGCAAGCGUUAAUCGNAAUCACUGGGCGUAAAGCGCACGUAGGCGGCUUGGUAAGUCAGGGGUGAAAUCCCACAGCCCAACUGUGGAACUGCCUUUGAUACUGCC
rnacentral:rRNA from 1 species